GCAGACUUCAGAGUCACCGUGAUCACAUGGCCUCCCUCCAUCCUGCGUUACUUGGACUACGCGGCAUCAUGGUAGUCGCUGUUUCUGGCUUUGAGUUUUCCAUCUCCAUGAGCUCUCACAAUGCCAAACUGCAUUGUCUCAUGAAGAACCACUUGGAAUCCCCCUGAGGUCCAGAAAACACGUCUGACAUCAGCUGCCAGGCCCAUCUUGCGUUUGCAGUCCAAGGUCAGUCUACAGCAGAAGCAAGAGGCAUUCCCUUGAUGGCACAAAGGACCAAGAUGGGAGAACUUGCAAACAAGGAAGAGCAAGAAAAUUCCUAUUUAUCUCACAAUCUCCACCCUGAGUCCUGCUCUCCUAAGUGUCCCUUUCACAGGACUGUAUCUGACCUACUUUCAAGCCUGGGUUUCCCUCCUUGAUUAAGCUACUCUCGAUAUACCCUCCUACAUCUCCUAGGCAAUUCCAAGCCCCAUCAACUUGACAACCAAGAUUGACCAGCAAAGAUGGUAAAUUAUAUGCUGUGUUUAUUUUACCACUGUGCUAUUCUGUCUUGGUUUUGUACAUGGGAAAACCCUGUUUUCCUUAAUCUCAUGUUUUAUUCUUUUUGUAUGUGAGUACACUGUCACUGUCUUCAGGCACACCGAAAGAGGGCAUCAGAUCUCAUUACAGAUGGUUGUGAGCUACCCUGUGGUUGCUGGGAAUUGAACUCAGGACCUCUGGAAGAGCAGUCAGUGCUCUUAACUGCUGAGCCAUCUCUCCAGCCCCCUUCCUAUGCUUUAUAGCAGGUUUUCACAGAAAUGAUGCUUUUAGCAUAUGAAGUAACCUAAAGGGAGAGCAUACACUUGCUCCUUCUUGAAGUUUUACACUGCAGAUUUAUCAAGCUACUUGAUGAAAAAUCAGAAUCAAUAGUGUAUUUACUUACUUCAGGGGACAGAGGAUGUGAGAGCUUAAGAACAUAGGAGUCUUCUUUCCCCCUACUAAUUAAAUACUUUAUUGAGCAAGUACAAUAGCAACAAAAUGCAUUCAAAUUUUCUCUAAAGAAAAAAAAUCACUUUUAAAGGCCUUUCUAGUCAGGCUAAUGACAAACACAAUAAAGGCAGAUAUGCUAGUUUAACAUAAUUGGCUGAUUUCAUACAGCACUUAUAUCUUUUACUCCACAAGUAUAUCAUUAAAUGAUAGAGAACAUCUAAUACAUCUAAUACAACUAUUUCUACAUAACUAGCCAAUGGAUUUCU
rnacentral:lncRNA from 1 species